rnacentral:rRNA from 1 species
CCUACGGGAGGCAGCAGUGGGGGAUAUUGCACAAUGGGGGGAACCCUGAUGCAGCGACGCCGCGUGGGUGAAGAAGCGCCUCGGCGCGUAAAGCUCUGUCAGCAGGGAAGAAAAUGACGGUACGUGAAUAAGAAGCCCCUGCUAACUACGUGCCAGCAGCCUCGGUAAUACGUAGGGGGCAAGCGUGAUCCGGAUUUACUGGGUGUAAAGGGGGCGCAGACGGCGAUGCAAGCCAGGAGUGAAAGCCCGGGGCUCAACCCCGGGACUGCUCUUGGAACUGCGUGGCUGGAGUGCAGGAGGGGCAGGCGGAAUUCCUGGUGUAGCGGUGAAAUGCGUAGAUAUCAGGAGGAACACCGGUGGCGAAGGCGGCCUGCUGGACUGCAACUGACGUUGAGGCGCGAAAGCGUGGGGAGCAAACAGGAUUAGAUACCCCAGUAGUC